rnacentral:rRNA from 1 species
AUGAACGCUAGCGGCAGGCUUAAUACAUGCAAGUCGAGGGGUAGCAGGUCUGUAGCAAUACAGAUGCUGACGACCGGCAAACGGGUGCGGAACACGUACAGAACCUUCCUUCGAGUGGGAGAUAGCCCAGGGAAACUUGGAGUAAUAUCCCAUAGGAUCAUAGAGUGGCAUCACUUAGUGAUUAAAGAUUUAUCGCUUGAAGAUGGCUGUGCGGCUGAUUAGGUAGUUGGUGUAGGUAACGGCUCACCAAGCCUUCGAUCAGUAACUGGUGUGAGAGCACGACCAGUCACACGGGCACUGAGACACGGGCCCGACUCCUACGGGAGGCAGCAGUAAGGAAUAUUGGGCAAUGGAGGCAACUCUGACCCAGCCAUGCCGCGUGGAGGAUGAAGGUCCUCUGGAUUGUAAACUUCUUUUAUUUGGGAAGAAAUGCCAUUUUUCUAAAUGGUUUGACGGUACCAGAUGAAUAAGCACCGGCUAACUCCGUG